CUUAUAUAACCCUGUAAACUCUUUCGCCGCCCCAAAAUUGAAGCUCUGCGCCUCUUUCCUGAACUGGUUUAAUCUUUCUUGCUCAUCCAAGUAAGAACUAAAGGCAAAUCAAGGUAAUUGUUUUCUCUCUUUAAGUUUCUCAUUUUGUAUCCCUUUUUUGACUUUCCUCUUCUUGUUUUAUUGGGAGAUGAUAUACUCACCGUGGUUAAAUCCCGUUAUGAAUCCCGAUUGGGAAUCCAACGCUUCUAGAAGUUUUUUCUGUAUAUCUCAUGAGAAACGAACUUCCAGGAUCAAGACUGGACGCCAAUUUGCUACGCGCGGCUUCCCACCUUCCUUCAUUGUGUGGGACAAUAUUUCUCCUACUUAAAUAAUCUCCAAUUCCAAUGACUCUUAGGAUUUUUUUUAAAUAAAACUUUAAAACUAUGGCCAGAGAAGUUUGGCUCACGACCUGUUUUGUAAAAAGUCUUAAUGACCACUCCUGUUUCGUGCAUCAUCUUUCCAAAUCUCUUCCUUUCUGAUGGGUGUCUCUAGCAAUAACCUUCAUACCAAGAUUAUAAGCAACUGCGACAACAUCCUUGGUAGUUCGAUGUUGUGAAUCCUUGGAGUUUGCAGUAACAACAUCCCUCUUUAUAGAAGAACAAAGGAUCUUCCCUUGGUAGCUAAAUCUUGCUUUGCCACUUCACUUGGACUGGAACGGCAGCGCCACAUUAACCAAUAUGUACAUGUCAGUUGUCCUUGCUUGGGACUGGGUUGGUUGAUCACUCUGUUUGUUUUCAAACUUGAGAAAUCUUCAACGGGUGGCACACGUUAUAAAAUCCCAUUAGCCUCCACUUCUCAUUCAAUCACGUCCAUAUCAACUUGUGAAAGGUGUAGCCGACUAGAAAUUAUACAACUUGUGAAACUCUCAAAGUCCUAGUCCUUGUAAAAUAUGUAUUUCCUUUCACGACGGUUAAUCUCACUUUAAAUGAGCGUCUUCGCACCUCCUUCACUGCCCACAACAGAAGUUUGCUACCAGCUCAGAUGAAUUUGUGGACGUGUUUACGACCUCCAUCCUCACCAAAGCUAUUACCUGAAGCCAUUUGGUGAUGCAGUCAAUUGCAGCUAGCAAGUUGUACACUCCCCCAGAUGCGUUGCAGUCUUUAGUCCAGAGACUAUUGCUUCAUACUCUGAUUGAUUGUUUAAAGCUGUAAAUCUUAGGUGGACGGAUUUUUCUCCUGGAAAACAAGUACACAGCCGACGCCUUUACCAUCCGUGUCUGCUGAUCCGAAACCGUUGAUAUGAUUGAUGUUGAAUGGUGAGGGGUACCUGCAAAAAACACUCCGAUGCUAAAGUCAGAGAGAGUUUCUUCACAGGUGUAUUGUGUGGAAAAUGAUUAGAAAAUCUGUACCUUUUGACUUAGGAUCUAGCCUCUAUUUAUAGGCAGAAAGUAUGUCUAGUUUUAUGGUUUUCAUAGUUAUCUUAAUAACUUCCCUUAGCUGUAUAAA